rnacentral:RNase_P_RNA from 1 species
GAAGCAAACUGGUUCUAUCGCUGCUCCCUAAAGGAGGAGAGGAAAGUCCGGGCAACGCAGAGCAACACGCUUCCUAACGGGAAGGAUGCUAUUGAUUUAGUAGACAGAAAGUGCCACAGAAAAUAUACCGCUUUUCGGAGUAAGGGUGAAAAUGUGAGGUAAGAGCUCACAGUCUUGUAUGGCGACAUGCAUUACGGUAAACCUCGUGUGUUGAAAGACCAAAUAGGUUGCGAAAUUCGAAGGCUGCUCGUCUUCUUUUAGCUUCGGCUAAGAUUCGUAAUGGGUAGGUUGAUGGAGCUAGUUAGUGAUGACUAGCCUAGAUAAAUGGUAGAAACUCCGAUUUUUCGGUUUACAGAACCCGGCUUAUAAGGUUUGCUUCUUUU